GAGGCACCAGGGGAAGGGGUGAGCCUGGCUGGACAAGCUCAGGCCUCACCAAACAGGGCGGGGAGACCAACGGGUUCCAGUCUGACAAUAUUCCAGAGUCUGAUCAGACAACAUUCCUAACUAGAGCCCUCCCCCAAGCUAGAAGAGUAGUGGUAACUUUCCAGUACCUGGCUAAAGGCCAAUGAGAGACCCCCACAUACCCUAGGCAAGCCAAUCCCCACACCACUGUACACCUUGCUCUCCCUCCCCCUGCCUUCUUUAAAAACUUGCUGCCUGCCCUGCUGGGCAUGACUUCCCCAGCCUCCAUUUCCAUAGACUGGUGAACCUCGCCUGGGAAUUGCGUUCAAAUAAACUACCUGGCCCUUUUUUGCCUCUCUCCACCUACUUAUUUUGGCUAGAAUUUAUCUUACAUUUGGUGCUGAAAUCCUGGGAAGGAGCGUGCGCAUGGGGCCCUGACUGGUCACCGGCGGCCCUGCCCCCCUCCUUCCCCGACCCAGGACCUCAGCCUGCUCUCUGCUGCAUGGACUACUUUCAGGCUCAACCAGUAAACUGAAAAAGACUGCGGCCUCAAGCGAGGUACCGAUGUGGAAAAUGAGCCUUAAGCCCUAGGCUCAACAUAAGUCUGGGGCCACCAGAAAACAACGCGAAGAACCAUCGUCCCCACUGACCUGCUACCUGACCCAGCAUUCCACCAACUCAGAAUUGUCAAUGGGAAGCCAAUGCCGACGACAGGGCUCAGGUCUGCCUCCACGAUGAAGCAGGAUGGACAAGAGCAGGAGAAGAUUGAGAGGACCCUGCCUGGCCCUGCAGGGAAGAUACAGGAAUGAGACGGAAGGAUCCUGAGUAAGGCUGAUGUCAGCUGAACCCUGACACCAGCUCCAGCUGGGCACCCUCCCAGGUAAAAGACACCUGCAGCCUCAGUGCCUUCAUCUACGCAACAGAGGUGACAAUGAGACCCAGAAGGACUCCACAGGGUGUUCUGUGAACUAAAUGGAAUCAGUGCAUCAGGCCCUCUGCAUGCAGCAGUUGGUACAGGGUCUGAGGCGCACCGAUUAAAGAACCAUAAACUCCAGCCUGAUGAUGUGGUAAAGUGUUGCCUGAGGGAACAGAGUGAAACUCACAGCCUAGGACACCGAUUCCCUACGCGGAGAGCCAGUGGUGUCUGGCAGGGACACCGGGCCAAAUUCUUCUACAUGGGCCAGAAACCCUUAACUCCACUCACACAUUAAUAAUUUUCCCUCUCUCAGUGGGGAGGAAAGACAGAAUGAGCAGAUUUUGACUGACAUCGACUCUGAAUGAGCUACACCACCAACUAGCUGUAGCGGCUUUUCUGAAGAUAAAGCUCGUACACUACAUGGGAUGCAUGAUGCCCAUUAAAUUCCCCUAAGGACUCUCUCUCCAAAAUCUGUGCCAGCCAGCUGUUAAUGAAGCCCAUGGAGCCAGCGUCAAGAGAGACAGGGAGAUUUGGCCAGAUGCAACAACGUAAGCAUUUCUGCCCAGGGGAAAAAAGAGAAAGUCUCAGAAUACCUUUCCCUUUGAGGAAGCUCUCAGAAGACAGCAAAGCUCAUGGGGGGCCCCGGCUCCCCACCCUCCUCCCUGUGAGAAUCCUGGGAAGGGGGACAAAUGUGCUGAGGAUUUUAGACAUGCUCAUCUUC